rnacentral:tRNA from 1 species
CGCUCACGAGCGCGACGCUGUGCCCCGACGUCGAUGUCGCGAGUUCGAGUCUCGUCAUCCGCUCCA